rnacentral:piRNA from 1 species
CAUGUUCCACUGCUUUGCCAAUGAUGGC